AAAGAAUGCCCCUGAGAACCACGAUGGUUCCAUGAUACUCUUAUCUAAUGUGGUUCCAUCAGAUUUCUACCUGUGGUUGGAGAAAUGUUUACUCUUGCUCUGCUCCACUGGCCAUGAACAAGAACACAGACAGAAGAAGAGAGGACAUAGUGAGCUGAGCCAAAUGCUGAAUAAGAUUUACCUUGGAUAGUUAAAGCAGAACUGGGGCUGUUGAGAGAGAGAACAAACAGUGAUGGAAUCACCGUCCAUGAUAUCAGAAGAUGUUCUUCAGUGUGACAAGAUAAAGGGAGCAUUCACAGUCACCCAAUGGGGUGGACCAAUGGAAUUCACCAGAACUGAAGAGAAAGUACCCUUCAUUACACCCCUGUCCUGGAAGAUGGAGUGUGUGGUCCACAAAAGGUUUUCAAAGAUGCGAUGAGGGGCAAAGUGGAUGUUGCUGCAGCAGAUGACACCAAAGAAGACAAGGGAGGCAGAGGAGGCAAAUGGAAAUGCUGUUUUAUUUAGGAAUCUGUUCUCCCUGGGGACUCCAAAAGAUCUUGAUGGGAAGGUGGAAGUCUUACAAUCACAGGGGAGGGGUAGAGAAGAC
rnacentral:lncRNA from 1 species